rnacentral:lncRNA from 1 species
AGAUCGCCGGAGCAAGCUAGCUGCACCUACACCCCCUCCUCCCUACUACGCAUGCACUACAUAUCCUACCACUACUUCUUGCUUGCCGCCAUUAUCGAUCCCUAGCUAGCUCUAGGCUGCUUGCUUGCCGCCAUUAUCCUCUUGAUUUUCAUCAAUCUUGCCACUGCUACUGCCUCUAAUUAAUUAGGUUGAUUUCCUGAUCGCUUCUUCUUCCCAACUGGGUCGGUCGUCGUCGUCGUCUCUACUACUAUUUGCUGCUGGUAAUUUUCCCCUCCUCAUCUCUUCCUUCCUAGCUCCAUGUGUAAUCCAACACUAGUAGCUCCUGCUGUUUGUGAUGAACUGAUGAUAUGAUAGCUAGCUAGCUCCCAAUCAAGAACUUGUUUUGAGAUUCAGCUGGCUGUGGCCCCCGUACGUCUUGAUUGAUUCGAUUAAUUGCUUCUUGUUUCUUGCUGCUGCUGCUGAUCGAUCUAUAGCCAUUACAUCUCCCUUGCAUCGUCUUCUCUAAGCUCUGCUGCAAGAUCGAACAAAUGAAAGCACAGGUACACACUGCGAACAGUGCGAUCUGCUCUCCGGUCUGCCUGGUCGUCGUCUUCUCCAUGUUCUUGCAGGGAAGCAGGCAGGCAGUGUGAUCGAUCGAUCGAUCGAUUUGGCGAGUCAUGUCAGCACUGUGGCUGUCUCGUCCUCUCGGGGAAUCCGCGUACUGUUCUUGGGGAGAGUCACGGAUGGCUAGAGCGAGCUCAGCUUCAAAUCAAGCUUCACUACUACUGCUAGUGAGCGGUGAGGAGAAGUGGUGUAGCUGUGGGCUGCUCCUUCCCCCCUUUCAGGACGCUUUUGCUUUGCUUUUUAUGGUACCUGUACUGCUCAUACCAUAAGUAGCUAGGCUUGCUUGGCCACCUCUGCAUGUGUAUUGCAGUAUCCCUAAUUACCAACACAGCAGAUUGCCUGAAAAAUUCUAGAGUAUUUUUUCACUUGCUCCUUUCUUUUUGGGAGCAUGGGGAUGAAAGAUGCUGAAAAUACAUGAAUAAUUAACUUCGU